UAAAGAAUGCUUGAGAUCCAAGGUGGAUGUAAUUUUAUUUUAUACUAAUUUUGGCAGUUCUGGAGAGUAGGGAGAGUCAUCAUCCUUUAAGACUUCAUGCUGUCAUCUAAGUACUCCAUACAAAUACAGUUGAUAAAUGAAAAAUACAGAUUUUACCACGUAUAUAUUGUUGAAAUUCAUGUUGAGAACAGGUAAACAACAAUAAGCAGCACAUCUUAUCCCUGCAUAAAAUAGCAUUUUCCAGUUUCACACAGCAGACAGAUCAAAAGCAAGAAAUAGCGAGUUCUGCAAGCCAAGCUAUUCCUAGCUUGGAUACAUCACUUUACCAUCAAGAAAUGCAUUGCCAAACAAUAUGGCCACUGUCCUUCUAAAUCUGACUGAAUUUUGUCCACAUAACAAGACCAGAAAUUGAUCCUUCUAUUGGAGAGUGCUCUGGUGAUGAGCACCCUGUAUGCUGAGCUGCUGAACACUGUUUACAAAAGAGCAGGAUGUGUUUAUAAUUAGUACCAACCAGGAAAGAAAAAGCCUCUCUCACAGACAGAGGUGGAUUGAGCUGAAUAGCAAUAAAUAUCAAAUCUACAAAAUUACUGACAAUCAUAUAUAAAUGGAGAUGGCAAAUGUAACAAAAUGAAAAUUAGCAACAUCAAAGACUACCAUUAAUUAGUAAAACUCUGAGAUGUGUAAUGACUGAGCAGUAUUUAGCUCUUUGCUUUUAUUUAUUUACUUACAAUGUCUCCAAACUAAAAUGUCAUUUAGUUGCAGUAUAAAACACGCCAAGAAGAUGAGCUACUGAUCUCAAGUUUCCUUCACAGUGAGUGGUGAUAUGGCCAUUAAAAUUCAGCAUGUGAUCCAUCAAAUCAAAUGCUGAGGUCUAAUUUUGGACAGGACAAAGAUCCUCAUGUUUACAAGAGCUCAUGUGGGUCAAAUGACCCAAAUGAUAAUUGCACACUGCUUCCUCUGCCUGAAUGUCCACGGAUGAGACGCUGGGAGCACAGAGGGAGCGUGCCACAGCCACUGGGAAAGAAGGAUGGACCAGGAAAGCCUCUUUCCAAAGAGACAGCUGGACUAGGACUGAGCAGUGUCACAUAUUCCUCUUGUGUUCUG
rnacentral:lncRNA from 1 species